rnacentral:rRNA from 1 species
GACGAACCGGGCGAACGUUGUUCGGCAUCACUGGGCUUAAAGGGCGCGUGGGCGGGCGAUCAAGUCCGGGGUGAAAUCCUCCAGCUCAACUGGAGAACUGCCUUGGAUACUGGUCGUCUCGAGUGAGGUAGGGGCAUGCGGAACUGGUGGUGGAGCGGUGAAAUGCGUUGAUAUCAUCAGGAACUCCGGUGGCGAAGGCGGCAUGCUGGACCUCAACUGACGCUGAGGCGCGAAAGCUAGUGGAGCAAACCGG